UUUCCGUAGGUGAACCUGCGGAAGGAUCAUUAAAAAAUAUCACUCGAUUGAGAGUGAUUUAAUAAUCAUCCUACCCUUUGUGAAUUUGUUAUUGUAAAUGUAAAAAUUUAUGUUGUCUAUCCUUGGAAAGUUUGUUCAAUUUAAUAAACCCAAGGGAAUAGGCUUUCAUAGACCUUUUUUUUAAAAUUAAACAUUUUGUAUUCAUUUGUCUAAAAUUUAUUUUUAAAAUAAUUUAAAAACAACUUUUGACAAUGGAUCUCUUGGUUCUCGCAACGAUGAAGAACGCAGCAAAAUGCGAUAAGUAAUGUGAAUUGCAGAAUACGUGAAUCAUCAAAUCUUCGAACGCAUAUUGCACUUUUUUAGUUUACUAAAAAAGUAUGUCUGUUUGAGUAUCAGUAAAAUAUUCUCAUAAAAAAAUUUUUUUUUUUAUGGUCAUGAGUGUUUUACAGCGAUAAACAAGUUGUUUCACUUUAAAUUGAUUUUUAAAAGCCAAUUUUUUGGUUUUUAUCUAAUAAAAUUGGAUAAAAUUUUCCCGUAAAAAGGAAUAAACUUUUCAGUUUUAAAGGGUAAAAAUUAAAAUAUUAUUGUGCUUAAUUUAAAAGGAAAAUUUAAUUUAAAAAUAACUUGAUCUCAAAUCAGAUAAGAGUACCCGCUGAACUUAAGCAUAUCAAUAAGCGGAGGAAAAGAAACUAACAAGGAUUCCCUUAGUAACGGCGAGUGAAGCGGGAAGAGCUCAAUUUGAAACCUUCAAGGUUCUACCUUGACGAAUUGUAGUUUAAAGAAGUGUCUUCUGUUAGAGGAGUAGCGAAAGUUCCUUGGAAUGGGACAUCAUAGAGGGUGAGAAUCCCGUAUUUGGUUAUUCUUUCUAGCUUUGUGAUACACUUUCAAAGAGUCGGAUUGUUUGGGAAUGCAGUCCCAAAUGGGUGGUAAUUUCAUCUAAAGCUAAAUAUUGGCGAGAGACCGAUAGCGAACAAGUAUCGUGAGGGAAAGAUGAAAAGAACUUUAAAAAAGAGAGUUAAACAGUACGUGAAAUUGUCAAAAGGGAAGCGUUUGACACCAGUGUUGUUUUCCGAAAAUCAAUUAAGAACGGCUUGAUUUUGUGUUGUAUUGACCUUAUCAGCUUUCUUCACUCUUUUUCGAGUCUUUCUUAAUGCACUUUUCGGUUAACAAGUCACAUCAAUUUCUUUUGUUGUAAAAGGGUAUUUGGAAGUGGCUUUCUUUUCGGAGAAAGUGUUUAUAGCCUUAUACCUCUACAAUCGGAGAGAUUGAGGUCUGCAGCGUAGAUCCUUCGGGGCUAAGAUACACUUGUGCUAAGUUAUAGGCUUUUCAUAGACAUAAUGUUGACUAUGUUUAGUCAUGUAGCUUACUCGCUUGUGCUAU
rnacentral:misc_RNA from 1 species